rnacentral:rRNA from 1 species
AGAGUUUGAUCCUGGCUCAGGAUGACCUCUGGCGGCGUGCCUAAUACAUGCAAGUCGAACGCGGGCACUUGUGCCCGAGUGGCGAACGGGUGAGUAAUACAUAAGUAACCUGGCCUUUACAGGGGGAUAACUGCUGGAAACGGCAGCUAAGACCGCAUAGGUAGGGACACUGCAUGGUGACCGUAUUAAAAGUGCUGCAAGGCACUGGUAGAGGAUGGACUUAUGGCGCAUUAGCUGGUUGGUGAGGCAACGGCUCACCAAGGCGACGAUGCGUAGCCGACCUGAGAGGGUGACCGGCCACACUGGGACUGAGACACGGCCCAAACUCCUACGGGAGGCUGCAGUAGGGAAUUUUCGGCAAUGGGGGGAACCCUGACCGAGCAACGCCGCGUGAAGGAAGAAGGAAUUCGUUCUGUAAACUUCUGUUAUAAAGGAAGAAAGAGGCAGUCAGGAAAUGGACUGCAGGUGACGGUACUUUAUGAGAAAGCCACGGCUAACUACGUGCCAGCAGCCGCGGUAAUACGUAGGUGGCAAGCGUUAUCCGGAAUUAUUGGGCGUAAAGAGGGAGCAGGCGGCAGCAAGGGUCUGUGGUGAAAGACUGAAGCUUAACUUCAGUAAGCCAUAGAAACCGGGCAGCUAGAGUGCAGGAGAGGAUCGUGGAAUUCCAUGUGUAGCGGUGAAAUGCGUAGAUAUAUGGAGGAACACCAGUGGCGAAGGCGACGAUCUGGCCUGUAACUGACGCUCAGUCCCGAAAGCGUGGGGAGCAAAUAGGAUUAGAUACCCUAGUAGUCCACGCCGUAAACGAUGAGUACUAAGUGUUGGAAGUCAAAUUUCAGUGCUGCAGUUAACGCAGUAAGUACUCCGCCUGAGUAGUACGUUCGCAAGAAUGAAACUCAAAGGAAUUGACGGGGGCCCGCACAAGCGGUGGAGCAUGUGGUUUAAUUCGAAGCAACGCGAAGAACCUUACCAGGUCUUGACAUACUCAUAAAUGUUCCAGAGAUGGAAAGAUAGCUAUAUGAGAUACAGGUGGUGCAUGGUUGUCGUCAGCUCGUGCCGGGAGAUGUUGGGUUAAGUCCCGCAACGAGCGCAACCCUUGUCGUUAGUUACCAUCAUUAAGUUGGGGACUCUAGCGAGACUGCCAGUGACAAGCUGGAGGAAGGCGGGGAUGACGUCAAAUCAUCAUGCCCCUUAUGACCUGGGCUACACACGUGCUACAAUGGAUGGUGCAGAGGGAAGCGAAGCCGCGAGGCGAAGCAAAACCCAUAAAACCAUUCUCAGUUCGGAUUGUAGUCUGCAACUCGACUACAUGAAGUUGGAAUCGCUAGUAAUCGCGAAUCAGCAUGUCGCGGUGAAUACGUUCUCGGGCCUUGUACAAAGCGCCCGUCAA